UGGGUCUGAGGAAGGGGGCACAGGUGGGCGUGGAAUGGUACCCCCCGCCCACCCCCCCCCCCCCCCCCCAAGCCGGCUGCCUCGGGCCUGUGAGUGCCUCUCAAGGGAGAGUUUUUGGCAGAGGGUGGGAGUGUCCAGACACGGAGAGGACCCAGGCAUUCGUUAUGUGAACCUCAGAGUGAGUCAGCCCCAGCAGCCUGACUGUCCUGAUCCUUGGGAACCGAAUCCCCAGCCUGGGACAGCCGUUGAGGGGGACUCCAGUGGCUCAUCGUCUUCAUCAGCAAGCUGUUCGUGCCUGUCGCCAGCAAGCCGUGAAGCUCAGACCUGCUCCGUGACCUGGAAGAAAACACUGGAAGGAUAAAUCGGGUCUAGUCAAAAUUGGUACUCGGGUGUGGAGGGGGACUACACAGUAGGGGCAGAGGCUUGCACCGGAGCCCACAAACCCGCUUACUGAGUUACGAGAGUCGCUCAAAUUCCCCAAGGCAGUCCCCGACCUCACAGAGUUUAUGCUGCUCUGAACUUCUCUUGUAAGUGCUUACUUACCUGCUGUCUGCCUCCCUCACCACAACUGGAGCCCUGGAGGAGGUCCUGCAUCCAGCACGUCCACAGUCACCAUCUGAGGGAUAACUGAAUGAAACGCCUGGUGCACAAUCAACCCUCCACACACAGGUCUUUACAGUCCCAAGAAGUUAUCCCCACCCCAAGCCCUCUCCUCGCUCCCUGGCCUCUCUCACAGCCUCUUGAGAACCUUGCUUGGAGGUCUCCGUCAGCUAAAAAGUCUCUCAAACUGUCAGCCAGAGGCCCCUCAUUGUUUGCUCCCCACGGCUCUCCCUCCUGGGCAUCUCCAGCACCUUACCCGGCCAAAUGCAUCCCCUCGGGCAUGAGCCCUGGUGCCUUUCAUGUGCAGCCGCCCCCAUAACAGCUCUCGGCUCCCCCGGGUGUACCGUGUGCCCCAGGGAGGGAUAGCACCCACCCUCCUGCAGGUAUUAACUGACUUUUUCUGGAGCCAGUGUUUGCUUUAGGGAUUAAAGUUAGUGGAGGAGCCUCAUCUGCUGCCUUCCUGGCAGCCAGCGCUAAGUUUGUUAUUUUAUUUCCCAAGCCCCUGAUAAUACGGUUCCAGACAUGUUGGUUUGAGAACAUCGUCCAACGGAAAAACCAGUGCCUCCUCUGAGCCAGGGGACAAGCUCUAGCUGACUUCACGCCGGCUCUCCCUCCUUCCUUAGGCCAACCUUGAGGCCCGCGAUUGUUUUCUCCUUUUUCUCUGUUUUCUUCUCAAGAGCUGCAUUGCUCUUAAGUACCCCCCAGUUUAUCUGGUACAGUCAAGGAACGGGCUACUGCACAGUAGUCAGUUUUCCAAAAUAAUGCCUUUCAAGCCCUGAAACUUUAAACAAUGAAAUACAUUUUAGAAGCAGAUUAAUUGACAUAUGAUUGGCACACGAUAAACUGCACGUAUUUAAAGUGUACAACUUGAUCCAUUUUGACGUCUGGGUACACCCAUGAAACCAUCAACGCGAUCAAGGUAGUGAACAGAUCUGUCCAUCACUCCCAAACUCCCUCUCGCCCCUCCCUGCCCCUCUUCCCCAAGCAGCUACCGAUCUGCUUUCUAAACACACAUUGAACGCAAAGCUGUCUCCCCCACCCCACUUCCCCACCUUAGCAAACAGUGCGAUCGAGAUUGUUGCUUUCCCUGCUUGGCGUUAUCACUAAAGUUCCUGAAAGCGACGGUGCAGAAAUACCCGGGACUGCUCGUCCUGAGCACGAAACGACCCCAUUGAUGCAUUCCACGCCGGACGGUUCGGGGUUUGGCAGUUUUCUCCCUUGCUGCCUGCUGUCUCCGGGUGUAAUACCCACGGACAAGUCCCGCUGCCUUGCCCCUGGAACACCAGCCAGCUCCCGUGCCAGCUCGUUCCUAGCUCUGGAUAGGUGGCUCUCUGCUGGGGGGUGACUCUGCCCCUCAGGUGACCUUGGGCCAGGUCUGGGGAUGCUUUUUGGGUUGUCAUGAUGGGGUGGUGGUGCUCCUGGCACCUAGUGUUUAGAGACCAGGGAUAUUGCCAAACAUCCUACAAUACACAGGACAGUCCCUGCAAAAAAAGGAACGAUCCGGUGGCCCCAGGUGGAAAUAGUGCUGAGGUUGACAAACCCGAUUCUGGAUGACAAACUAAUUGGAAAAUUCAACAAGUCAUGAAAA